UACGGGGGGGGCAAGCGUUGUUCGGAAUUACUGGGCGUAAAGGGCUCGUAGGCGGCCAACUAAGUCAGACGUGAAAUCCCUCGGCUUAACCGGGGAACUGCGUCUGAUACUGGAUGGCUUGAGUUUGGGAGAGGGAUGCGGAAUUCCAGGUGUAGCGGUGAAAUGCGUAGAUAUCUGGAGGAACACCGGUGGCGAAGGCGGCAUCCUGGACCAACACUGACGCUGAUGAGCGAAAGCCAGGGGAGCAAACAGG
rnacentral:rRNA from 1 species